AUUGAACGCUGGCGGCAGGCCUAACACAUGCAAGUCGAGCGAGCGGCGGACGGGUGAGUAAUGUAUGGGGACUGCUCGAUAGAGGGGGAUAACUACUGGAAACGGUGGCUAAUACUGCAUACUACCGGAUAACCCAUAUGGGAUUGUCUAGUGGGUGGGGUAAAGGCUCAGCUAGGUGACGAUCUUCAGCUGGUCUGAGAGGAUGAUCGGCCACACGGGGACUGGGACGCGGCCCGGACUCCUACGGAGGCAGCAGUGGGGAAUAUUGGGCGAUGGGCGAAAGCCUGAUGCAGACAUGCGGCGUGUAGGAAGAAGGCCUUAGGGUUGUAAGGUACUUUCGGCGGGGAGGCGUUGCCGGCAGAAGAAGCACCGGCUAACUCCGGGCCAGCAGCCGCGGUAAUUC
rnacentral:rRNA from 1 species